rnacentral:rRNA from 1 species
UGCGUGCACUUCUCCCCUAGUAGGACGUCGCGACCCGUUGGGUGCCGGCCUACGGCCCGGUUUGUCGACUGUCGUGGCGCGUUUACGCGCGCACCCUUCAGACGACCGGUCGCCCGGCCGGCUGCCCGGCGGUAUAGAACGCAUUUCAACGAUAUUGGGCCGCACAUUUGUGCGUCCUGGCUCGUCGGCAGGCUCGCCUCGCUCGGAUCUACGGACCCAGUGCCGUAGUCGGGUGCUUGGUGUGGUCGUUAGUCGACGAUGUCCUCGGACCGGCUCUUAUCGGUCGGCGACGCUACUGCUUUGGGUACUUUCAGGACCCGUCUUGAA